GAAAUGCGAUAAGUAAUGUGAAUUGCAGAAUUCAGUGAAUCAUCGAAUCUUUGAACGCACAUUGCGCCCAUUAGUAUUCUAGUGGGCAUGCCUGUUCGAGCGUCAUUUCAACCCUUAAGCCCUCGUUGCUUAGCGUUGGGAGUCUGCCGUAAAACGCAGCUCCUCGAAGUUAGCUGGCAGAGUUAGGUCAUACUCUAGGCGUAGUAAAUUUUACAUCUCGCUUCUGGUAGUUGGCCUGGCUGUCGCCAUAAAACACCCCCCAUUUUUCUAUGGUUGACCUCGGAUCAGGUAGGAAUACCCGCUGAACUUAA
rnacentral:misc_RNA from 1 species